ensembl:lncRNA
CCCUUGCCCAAGUCGGGCGGGGGCCCCGGGCCCCGGCCGGACCCGGGCGGGCUCUGGCGGCCGCUCUGGGAGACGCAGACCCGAGCCCGCGGAGCCUGGGGGAACCCGGGCGCGCGGAGUCCGCCGGCGGCGGCGGAAGCAGCCAGGUGAGGGCGCUGGAGCCCAGGACACGAGAGGAGCAGCCGCGGCUAGCAGCGGAGAGCCUCUUUGCGCUCGGAGGGCUUGGGGUCGUGGUGUGGUCCAUCCUGUCCUGGGGGAUCCUAGACCUGAUAACUUCCCAGGGGAGCUCCAGGCAGCAGAUGGCAGUUUAACACAUGAACUUCUGGUCAAGCAGAGAAGCUGCAAGAGGACAAGGGCUUUGUCUGCUCACUGCUGCAUCCUUAGAACCAAAAACAUUUGUGAAAGGAAGGAAAGGAGGAAAGGAG